rnacentral:rRNA from 1 species
UGGGGAAUAUUGCACAAUGGGCGCAAGCCUGAUGCAGCGACGCCGCGUGAGGGAUGACGGCCUUCGGGUUGUAAACCUCUUUCACCAGGGACGAAGCGCAAGUGACGGUACCUGGAGAAGAAGCACCGGCCAACUACGUGCCAGCAGCCGCGGUAAUACGUAGGGUGCGAGCGUUGUCCGGGAUUACUGGGCGUAAAGAGCUCGUAGGUGGUUUGUCGCGUUGUUCGUGAAAACUCACAACUCAAUUGUGGGCGUGCGGGCGAUACGGGCAGACUAGAGUACUGCAGGGGAGACUGGAAUUCCUGGUGUAGCGGUGGAAUGCGCAGAUAUCAGGAGGAACACCGGUGGCGAAGGCGGGUCUCUGGGCAGUAACUGACGCUGAGGAGCGAAAGCGUGGGGAGCGAACAGGAUUAGAUACCCUGGUAGUCCACGCCGUAAACGGUGGGUACUAGGUGUGGGUUCCUUCCUUGGGAUCCGUGCCGUAGCUAACGCAUUGAAGUACCCCGCCUGGGGAGUACGGCCGCAAGGCUAAAACUCAAAGGAAUUGAC